UACAUGCAAGUCGAGCGAGAACGUUACUUCGGUAGCUAGUAAAGCGGCGGACGGGUGAGUAACGCGUAGGAAUCUACCUUUCAGCGGGGGAUAGCUCGGGGAAACCCGAAUUAAUACCGCAUACACCCUAAGGGGGAAAGAGGGCCUAUCCUUGGAAGCUCUCGCUGUUAGAUGAGCCUGCGUGAGAUUAGUUUGUUGGUGGGGUAAUGGCCUACCAAGACUACGAUCUCUAGCUGGUCUGAGAGGACGAUCAGCCACACUGGGACUGAGACACGGCCCAGACUCCUACGGGAGGCAGCAGUAGGGAAUAUUGGACAAUGGGGGCAACCCUGAUCCAGCUAUGCCGCGUGUGUGAAGAAGGCUCUAGGGUUGUAAAGCACUUUAGGUAAGGACGAAAAGAAUAUAGUUAAUACCUAUAUUCCGUGACUUAACUUACAGAAUAAGGACCGGCUAACUCCGUGCCAGCAGCCGCGGUAAUACGGAGGGUCCAAGCGUUAAUCGGAAUUACUGGGCGUAAAGCGCGCGUAGGCGGUUUGUCAAGUUGGAUGUGAAAUCCCUGGGCUCAACCUAGGAACUGCAUUCAAAACUUAUAGACUAGAGUACGAUAGAGGAGAGUAGAAUUCCUGGUGUAGCGGUGAAAUGCGUAGAUAUCAGGAGGAAUACCAAUGGCGAAGGCAACUCUCUGGAUCGACACUGACGCUGAGGUGCGAAAGCGUGGGUAGCAAACAGGAUUAGAUACCCUGGUAGUCCACGCCGUAAACGAUGAGAACUAGCCGUUGGAUCUUAGAUUCAGUGGUACAGCUAACGCAUUAAGUUCUCCGCCUGGGGAG
rnacentral:rRNA from 1 species